rnacentral:lncRNA from 1 species
CCAUGGAAAAAAGUGGAAGCAGAUCCUUCGCCUUGUCUUGGUGGCCUUUUAUUUUAGCCUUUCUCGUUCUUUGCUGUUCCAGUGAAACUUGUAACGCUAAGGAUGAUAGUACAAACUGUACCUCCUCCUGCGGCAACAUUCACAACAUAAGCUACCCUUUUCGACUAAAGGAUGAAAGCACUGUGGCCACAUUCUGUUUACUCUUUCCUGUGAGAACAACAUUACAGUACUAGAAAUUCGCCGUCCGGCAUAAGCGGGCCAUAUAUUUCGUAUGAUCCCACCACUUAUCUUCCACUUUCAACAUCAAUAUUUUACUUGAGGUGUAGAAACAAAAUGAAUUCUUCUCUGUGCGUGGAUACAGCUCCAUGCUUGAAUAAUAGUGCCAAUUUUUUUUAUUUUAGUCCGAGAUUAUAAAAUAAUGAUUUUAGCUUAACUUUAUUUUUUUGAUAAAUUUUUUGAAAAUAAAAUUUAGAUAGAUUAUCCUAAUUUAUUUUUAUGAAUAUUAUAAUUUUAAAAUAUUUAAAUUUCGAUAAGCAAUUAAAAAUCAUACAAUACAUAAGUAUUUACAAAGUUUUAACUUAAAUUUGAUUUAAAUUAUUUUCUUAAAUUAUUUUAGACGUUAGAUAUAAUUUUGGGUCAUCCAUCUUUUUUUACCAUUAAAUUUGUUAUCGUUUGAUCAUAACAGUUAGAUUAUAAGUGAAAAAAAUGUUUAAAAUAUGAUAGUUUGGUGGAUCCAGAAUAAUUUAAGCCAGACUUAAAUCAUUGGGAGAGUCUAGCUUAGAGAUAUAUUUUCUCCUUAGGCUUAUUUUAGCCCAUGGUUGGAGAUGGUUUGAGAGGUUUUAAAGCUUAUAUUUUAAGCUUUAUCCUAUGGGUUAAAGAUGAUCUAAAGGUUGAAAGUAAUCACAACAAUGACUUUUCUUUUUAUCAAGUCUCGCUUCAAUGAGUACCCACACCACUUAGAAAAUUGCAUUUUCUUGCUAGUCUCUCCCUCCAAAGUUUUUAAACUAACGUGACACAUCAAUUAGCAAUAUGAAAAGUAAUCCACUUUAUUUAUAAGUUGUGAAAUCCCGUUCUUGGAAUUUCACUAUUAAUUACGUAUUUCGUUAUUAAAUUUCAUAUUUCAUGUUUACAUUAUUUUUAGUUUAUUUUAAUUCCGUUAAUUUAGAAUUUGAAUCGUAUAUUUACAAGGUAUGAAUUUUCGUAAUUAAUCUUUUAAAAUUUGUAGACCUUUCGAGGUCACAAUUAAUGUUUUCGAAUAAAAUUUGAUUCCACGAUCUCGUAUGCAAAAACCGUUUACGAAUUGGAACUAUAACGAAAAUGUUACAUACGUUCAAAGUCGUAUUUAAAUAGUAAAUUUGGAUUACUAUAUAAGGGAACUCCCAUCAUGUGGAAAGGCAGGACCAAUCAGAGGAGAAAGUGAAGUGACCAAUCAGAAAAUAGAGAGAGAGCAGCUACCCAAACUCUUUGAUCCGUUUCAGAAAAGAUUAGGAACAACAUUUUGAAUUUUACUGAAUUUUCGUAUUUACAAUGUUAAAAAAAACUUUAAACUUGGGUAAAAGAUUUCUUUGUCCAUUCGGAUUGAGUCCAAGUUAUGCUGCGCAAAUGCCGAUGUCGACACCUGCUGAGCGUUGUGGACGGGCCCUGCAGAGUUUUGUCGAAUGACCAUGUAUGGUUGUUUUCCAUAUUUCAUUUCUCACAACCUCACAUCAAUAAGAAGCCCUACCACUUAAAAAUAGACUUCUCUCUUUGUCAUAAAAGUUCUAAAAGACGCUAGGUGCUAGUCGGGCGGCGGGCUAGGGCCUAGCGCCUAGGCGGCUAGACGGGGUCUAGGCGGGCGCCUAGGCGGAUUACGCGGAUAUUAUAAAGUAUUGGAACAUAAUGAAAACAUGGGGAACAAGUAUAUAGUGUCUGCCCAUUUAAGUAUUCAACAAGUCUCUUACAAUUUAUUGAAAAAAAUUAAAUGCAAAUUGAAAGUUAUCUAUUUUCUAUCAAAGUAAGUCGCAACCUAGGCAGGUGCCUAGGUGGGUCUGGGCGGGCUAGGCGGUCUAGGCGGGCGUCUCAACUGGUCUAGGCGCCCUUUAUUAAUUUUCAAAUGCCUAGGUAUUAAUCGGGGCGGUGACCAGCCGCCUAGCGCCUAGGAGGGGCCUAGGCGGCGCUAGGCGGAGAUUUUUAGAACAGUGGUCAUAAAUAGUCAUGUAGAAAUUUCAGCCUUUCCAACUGGGACGUUGCCACCCUCCUUCACCCUAAAGGGUUGAAUGCAAUCACAACAAUGACUUUUCUUUUUAUCAAGUCUCGCUUCAAUGAGCAUUGAUAGGUGCAUUAUUUAUCAUAUUUUCAUAUAAUUUAUCCCUAAGUUUUGUUAAGAAAUUGAUUAUAAAAGAGCCUUAUUACUUUCAUUUUCUCUGUUUCAACCAUUGUGCGCACUUAAACCGUUUUUUGUGAUAAUUCGACUUUCCGGAGGAGUUUUGAUGCAAGGCCAAUUGGAGAAGGAAGCUAAGAGGCUGAAGAUCGUUGUGUCCUAAUUUCAUGAUUUUCCAUGAAGCCAAACGUUCCAGUUUUACAAAUCAAUCCCGCAGAAGUUGUUUUCCCGUCAGAACUGCGCAGCUGUGGGAGAAUGAAGAUUUUGAGGCUUUCCCGAUUUUUCCUAGUGACGUGCGUUAUAUUCCUGGAAAGAUAAGAGAUAGGGCUACAUUUCCCAUAUUUUUACAGAUUUUUCUAGAAGAAAAAUCGACUCCAAAACUGGCGUGCAAGACAGAUGACGUGUUUCCCAAGCCAAGAAGAAUUCUUUCCUAGUUUGUGUCAUUAAUUGUUUAGGAGUUUGUUUUAUUUUAGGAGAGUUUCUCCCAGACUUUUUAGGGUUUUCUAGUAUAAAUAAGGUGCCCUAAGCUCUCUCUAAGAGAUCCAUCCCAUAUAAACCACAUCAUACUACCAUUCACCAUCUCCGCAAUUUGUGAAGAAGAGCUUAGGGACGUGCUUUGCCAUGGAUUCUAGGUUCUAUCUCUCUUUUAUUUUUUUUAUAUGUGUAACUAAGUUAUUUUCUAAGGUUUAUGAUGAAGCCAUGACAUGAAUAUUUGCGAAGUACUUUGUUAAUUAUUAUCCGGUUAUAUGCCAUGUUAAAUUCUUAAUCUUUGUGGGUAAUUUAUUCUAGAUUCGGGUUUCUAAUGACUGAUCACCUUUAGGAAUUUUGCAUCUAGAUAGUUAGAUAAAUCUAUGAGGAUGAGCAAUAUCAAUUAGGUUUGUUGAUGCACAAAACCGGAUGUCUUGGAACAACGUAAAUCCGACCGUGAAUCUGCAAGUAAUGUAAAUGACACAAGAGUUAUCGUGGUUCACCCCAAGGUUUGGGCCACGUCCACACUGAUUGUAUUAUAUUUCUCUGUUGAAGAGGGAGAGAGAGCUUAGGGGAUGUGAGGAGCUUUGAGAGGGGGUGAGAGGCUUCAGAAAUGGCCUCUGAGGGUGAGAAUGAGGCCUCUGAGAGUGAGAGUGAGGCCUUCCCUAGAAUGAGGGUAGGAGUCCCCUUUUAUAGAAUAAGGGGCUCCUCCUCUAUUACAUAUUUGCCCCUUCCUUUAUCCCAUAAUUACAUUUAAGUCCCCUGAGUAUUUGUACGAGAUCUAAAUACGAGGCCCUAAAUAUGGUAUAAACAGUAGUCCCCCAAGUCUUCAGUUAAGAGAGUCUUUUGGCUGGAGACUUGAAAUUCAGUCCAUGUGUGGGCCGAAGUAACUAGAUGUCGUCUAGAACUAAUGCUUGAUAUGAGGCGGUGCCCAAUCUGAAAUGAUGCUCAACUAGAAGUAGCACAUGUUGCGAGGCCGCUCUGCUUGUAGCUUGUGUUGCCUUGGUUGGCUCAGCUUGUGGCGUUGAAGGUGAGGGAGUCCCUUUUAUAGAAUAAGGGCUAUCUCCUCAAUACAUAAGUGAUGGGCUAGAGUUGAUGCUCGCAGUGAGACAGUUGCUCAGUAGGCGGCGAUGCUCUCUAAUGGUGGUGAGGGAGUCCCUUUUAUAGAAUAAGGGCUCGCUCCUCAAUACAUAAAUCAUGGAUGAUCUUUCAAUGAAAGUGAGGGAGUCCCUUUUAUAGAAUAAGGGUUCGCUCCUUAAUACAUAGAUAAUGGGCUAGAGUCCCCCAAGUAUUUUUCAUGAGGCCCAGUUGAGGCCCAAUAUAUGGUACAUAAUGUAGUCCCCCAAGUCUUCGGUCAAUAGAGUCUGUUGGCUGGAGACUUCAAAUUGAAUCCAUGUAUGGGCCGAAGUGGCGGUUGUUCGGAGGCGGUAUUUGUAUACCCUGCACUGAAGCUUUGUAGGUGAAGCUUUGUAGGUGAAGCUUUGCAAGUGAAGUUUUGAAGCUAGAGCUCUGUAAAUGAAGUCUUUUGAAGCUAGAGCUCUUGUAAAUGAAGCUUUUGAAGCUAGAGCUUUUGUAAAUGAAGCUUUUGAUGCUAGAGCUCUGUAAAUGAAGUCUUUGAAGCUAGAGCUCUUGUAGAGGAAGCUUUUGAAGCUAGAGCUCUGUAAAUGAAGUCUUUGAAGCUAGAGCUCUUGUAGAUGAAGCUUUUGAAGCUAGAGCUCUGUAAAUGAAGUCUUUGAAGCUAGAGCUCUUGUGAAUGAAGCUUUUGAAGCUAGAGCUUUGUAAAUGAAGUCUUUGAAGCUGAUUUGACAUGAGUGAUGCUCAUGCAUGUUUAUGUUGAUUGACAUGAGUGAUGCUCAUGGAUGUUGUCAUGAGUGAUGCUCAUGAAUGUUAACAUGAGUGAUGCUCAUGAAUGUUGACAUGAAUGAUGGUCAUGAAUGUUUAUGUAUGAUUAUCAUGAGUGAUGCUCAUGAAUGUCUAUGUAUGAAUGACAUGAGUAAUGCUCAUGUAUAAUUUGGAGUACUUGGCGUACUUUUGAUCGCUUGGUUGGAGCUAUUUUGGGCUUAUGGAUUUUCGCCCUCUACACAACAUUCCAGCCCAUUUACUUUGGGCUUUGCCCCUUUUUUUUCUUUUUUACCCUCUGAUGGGGUUUAUACAGAUGUCAUUUCUCACUUGUUAUGACUGAUACAAGAUUAAUCCCUUUCCCACUUGCAAAUUUGAAUGCUGCUUCCUCCGUGAGAAUCUUCAAAAGUGCAUAAACCCAUCCACUUGCUUUUCUUGUUUUUGUUUCUUUUUUUUUUCUUUUCACUUUUGCUUUGCACUGUGUCUGUCUUUUACUUUCUUCUUUUUCGACAAGAUGAUGGACGGAAAUGAAGCUUUUGAAGGAUGACCCCUGCUUCGAGUGGUGUCCCCGUGCUUUUGCAUGUUUAUUCCUUGCUUUUCUUUCUUCUUUUCUCUUUUCCUUUUUUCUUUUGCUUUCUCAGAAAAUGAAGAUGCAUGAGAUGGGUCAUUGAUCUCAUCCAGCAGGUUGUCUGCAGCAUACAGAGCAUUUUUUAUUUGAAAAACCUGUCGCUGUGGAUGUCAUUCUUUUGAGAAAGCAAGCACUCGAGAAUGCAUUCCUUGCAAAAGACGUGGCCUUUUCUGGCAGCGCGCAUGGGGUCGAUGAAGGGUUUGAGGCAGAGGCAGCAGGCGUCGAAGGGCUUGAUGGAGUCUCUGUCGAGCCAUUCCCUCUGGGUUCCAUAGCUGAGCUUCUUCUUCUCGUCGUAGGUGAAGAAAGCGAGGUCGUUGUUGUUCUUCGAGUGCUUCUGCGACAUCUUUUCGAAUUGAAUUAAAAUCUACUCUUCUGAUCGUGGAUUUUAAUUUUUUCGAAUUUUUGAUUAGGGAGAAGUCAUCCGUAGCUGCUUUUGCUCUGAGCUGGAGAAAUGCUCUACUACUGAGUCAACCCGCUCACCGAGUCAUCCUUCACUGUUUCCUCAGACAGCAAUUCACUGUCGACAGAAAAAAUUCACUCGACAACGGGUCCGCCGAAUCACGACAGAUCUUAUUGAAUUGGGCCACUGAUCUGCUCGCUGAGUUCAGCUAUUGCUUGUGGUUAAUUAGAAUUUGAACUCGUGAUUUCAGUGAAAUGGAUCGGCAGGCGAUGACGGUUGGGCUGGCCAUGGAUACAUCGAUCAUGCACGAUAGCGACCGGUAUGAUUUCGUCCGAGAUAUUGGGUCUGGAAACUUUCAAGGUCACCAGGCUGAUGCGGACAGGCAGACUAGGGAACUCGUCGCCGUCAAGUACGUGGCAAUAAAAUUGAUGAAAAUGUUCGAAGAGAGAGAUAAUAAAUCAUAGGUCUUUGAGGCACCUGAACAUCAUCAGAUUCAAGGAGGUUAUUCUUACUCCUACCCAUCUGACCAUUGUGAUGGAAUAUGCUUCUGAAGGAGAUGGCAGACGGCGGCGCUGGUAUGCGCGUCUGUGCAUGAGGAGAGGGUUUGGGCGAUGCAUCCUCGUCGCCGAAGUCUGCCAUGGGAAUGAGAAGCUCGCGAUGAAGCUCGCGAUCUCACGGUUCUCUGUCUCUGCUCGCCAUUACAAUCGAUGAUGACGACUUCUCAUCGCCCAUCACCAGCAGACCCCAAAUUGAUAUACGACGCCGUUCCAACGCCGCAACGCGGGGCCUUUUUUUUUGUCGAAUAAUUUUGGCACCGACGAGUAGAGAUCGGAGCUCAGCUUCCUCUCUUCGGAUGACUUGGGUGCCUCCUGCAAGCCCGAGCCAGCCGAAGAACAUCGGGUCCUGAAGGGGCUGGUGCUACUGAUGGGUGCACCCUUGUCGGGUUUGGGAUCGGGAAGAGGAAGACGACAGCGGAUCUUAUGCGGUGGACGAGAGAGGGAGUGGGAGUGAGUGAGAUCAUAAUCUGGAAUUUGGAUCUGGAAUCGUUUGUUUCUCUUUGUUUUGGGUUUUUGUGAUUUUGCAGAUUCACGGUAGAGGUCAAAAAUGAAAAAGAACCGACACAACUUUUCGUAUCGAUUCCCACAUACGGCGCCAAAUGUUGAUGCACAAAACCGGAUGUCUUGGAACAACGUAAAUCCGACCGUGAAUCUGCAAGUAAUGUAAAUGACACAAGAGUUAUCGUGGUUCACCCCAAGGUUUGGGCCACGUCCACACUGAUUGUAUUAUAUUUCUCUGUUGAAGAGGGAGAGAGAGCUUAGGGGAUGUGAGAAGCUUUGAGAGGGGGUGAGAGGCUUCAGAAAUGGCCUCUGAGGGUGAGAAUGAGGCCUCUGAGAGUGAGAGUGAGGCCUUCUCUAGAAUGAGGGUAGGAGUCCCCUUUUAUAGAAUAAGGGGCUCCUCCUCUAUUACAUAUUUGCCCCUUCCUUUAUCCCAUAAUUACAUUUAAGUCCCCUGAGUAUUUGUACGAGAUCUAAAUACGAGGCCCUAAAUAUGGUAUAAACAAGGUUUAUUGGAACUAAGAUUAAGAAGAGUAGACAAACUAGUGAGGAUGACCAAUAUCAAGCUAGUCCUACUUGGUUGACAUGAUUCUUCUAUGCUUAAUGGGUUUUUAUGUGUUUAAUUGUAUUCCUAACCAAUAUGAUAUGAUUAUCAUGUAGAGAUACAAGAGUUGAUGCCUGACCACGGAUUAAUUUAUACCUUAGAAAGAACAACCUAUAAUGUUGGCAUGGUAAUUGGAUAAUAGUUGGCUCCAGGAAAAGUAAAUAGGAUUGUUAUUGGUGGAUUCAUAACCUUAGGCUUUCUUGUGUCGUGUGUUUGUUUUAGUUAAUUGUCUUUUAUUUUUCUUGUUAAUUUUAGUCUUAAUCAAUUAUUCAAUUCAAUCUAUCCUUUGUUUGUUUAAUAUAGUCUAGCGUGAUUAAUCGGUUAAAUUGGUGUUAAAGCAAUCCAUGUGGGAUCGACCUCGUAUUUGCAUAUAUUACUACAAUUCAUUCGUGCGAUUGCGAGCUUAAUUUGGUUUAGAUUAAUCUAUUGUUUAGGUUAGUUUAAAUUUACAUCAAGCACCCCCACCACUUAGAAAAUGGUGUUUUCUUGCUAGUAUCUCCCUCUAAAGUCAUUUUUUAACUACCCGAAUCAAUUGGUAAUAUAUGAGUAAUCCAUUAUACUUAUAAGCCUAUGUAAAGAUUUCUCUUUCCAUUAAUAUGGGAUCCAUCCUCAACAACAUUCUCAACAUGCCCCUCACAUAUGAAAAAAAUUCAAGUCUAAUAUGUGGACAACACAAACAAGGUGAUGUGAAGUACGUGUGUCCAUUGGGCUUAACACGUGGGACAAUCUGCUCUGAUACCAUAAAAAAAGUUGAGGCUCCAUUAUAAAACCAAUUAGCAAUAUGAAGGAAUAGCCCACGUAAAUCUCUUCUCACAUCAACAUGAGAUUCAUUCUCAACACAAUCAACAUCCACAUCCUUUUAAUUAAAUGGAGCAUUUUUGCUCACCACUAGUGUAUGUUCAUCAUACACCUAAUCAAUUGACACGUGUCAUUUUACUUAACUUUCACAUUAAAUGUUAGUUUUUCAAUUUUGAAAUAAAUUAACCAAGAUUAAGUGAAAGGACACGUGUCAAUUGAUUAGAUGUAUGGUGAGCAUACACCAUAGUUUAUAAUGGUGAGCAAAAAUACUCUCUAAUUAAAUAAGUAGUUGAUUUUUCUACGAGAAUUAAUUUGCAAACACAUUUAAUCUUGGCAUCACCUUUAAUCUUCCUUCACAUUUUUGUUUAUUUUUAUAUUUUUUGUUCUUUAGUAUAUCCCAUUUAGUCUGCGCCAUCGACUGACUGCGGCAAGCCAUCAUUAACUGACUUUUCUCUAAGAUAUUUUUUAGUCCUGCCACUGACCAACUGUCGGUCAUCAAUGCCCCUAGCAUUAACAUAGCAUGACUUUUUGUCUUGGAUACUUUUCAACACUGCAGCUUCACGGAGGGUGCUCUAGCUCACGACCAAAGAUUAAAUUACUAAUUCACCACUACUCACAGACAUGCGUGUGUGUGUAUAUACAAUCGUCUAAACUAGACAUGGCAGUUUUUGACACGACACGGUGACACGACAAGAAAACGACAUGAAAAUAACGGGUUUCGGGUCAACACGAUAACUUAUCGGGUCACUAUCGGGUGACCCGUUAAGAACCCGUUAAUAACGGGUUCUUAACAGGUAUACACGUGGGUAACACGUGGGUAACCCGUUUCGACCUGUUAAGAAAAAAAAUAUUUUAAUAAUUUUAAAGUUUAAUUACUAAAAGAUUUAUUAUAAAAUACAAUAAUCAUAUUAAUAUAUACAAUAUUUUCUAUAUUAAAUAUAUAGUUUUGUAUUAUUGUUCUAUAUAAAUUAUAAAAAAAUAAAAAAAGUUUUAGUCAUUAUUUAUUUUUAUUAUGAGAGUUCCUUAUUAUUAUUACUAGGAUAAAUUUUACAUAACAUAUUCUUGUCCAAAAUUAAAAUAUACUAGUAUAGUAUUUGUAUAUGCAAGAAUUAAGAAGACAUACAUACAAGUAUGAAAAAUAUGAAAGAAUAUAUAAACACUCGUGAUUUAUCAUUAUUCCUUCACGAAUAGAUAAUUGUUACACUUAUAUUAUCGUUUAGAUUUUUAAAAUCCUUCAAACCCUCAUGAAUAAUGUUUUUUAUUUGAGGGCAAAAUUAAUAAAAUUAAUAAUAAUUAUUGUAGAAGUGUAAAAAAUGUAAAAAAAUAUAUAUACAAUCACUCAUAUAUAAAAAAUGUAAAUACUUUAAAUUAAAGAUCAAAUUUAUUCAUUACAUUCUUAUAGGGUCGAGGAGUGUAUAUGUACAAAAUCAUCAAAAUCGGAGCUAAAAUAACCGUUAAAUUGUGAUUUUUCGUUUAUAACCGUCGAACACUUUUGUUCCGUUACGUAAUCUCUGAAUGUUUGUUUUUUACAAUUUUUUACUUUUGCAAUCUCAGAAUGUGUACAAAUAAGUUUGACGGUUGGAUCGUUGAAAAAAGUUUCGUAUAAUGCAUAUUGCAUCAAAACGGUAGAUAAAACAAACACUUAGAGUUAAUAUUAUACUUCUAUUAAGUAUAAAAUAAGUUUUUGUGGUAUCCACUAGUGUAAAUACUUUAAAUUAAAGAUCAAAUUUAUUUAUUACAUUCUUAUAGGGUCGAGGAGUGUAUCUGUAAAGAAUCAUCAAAAUCGGAGCUAAAAUAACCGUUAAAUUGUGAUUUUUGGUUUAUAAUCGUUGAUAACUUUUGUUCCGUUACGUAAUCUCUGAAUGUUUGUUUUUUACGAUUUUUUACAUAUGCAAUCUUGGAACGCGUACAAAUAAGUUUGAUGGUUGGAUCGUUAAAAAAAGUUUCGUAGAAUGCAUAUUGCAUCAAAAUAGUAGAUUAAACAAACACUUAAAGUUAAUAUUAUACUUCUAUUAAGUAUAAAAAAAGAUUUUGCGGUAUCCACUAGUGUAAAUACUUUAAAUUAAAGAUCAAAUUUAUUCAUUACAUUCUUAUAGGGUUGAGGAGUGUAUUUGUAAAAAAUCAUCAAAAUCGGAGCUAAAAUAACCGUUAAAUUGUGAUUUUUUGUUUAUAACCGUCGAAAACUUUUGUUCCGUUACGUAAUCUCUGAAUGUUUGUUUUUUACAAUUUUUUAUGUAUGCGAUCUCGGAAUGUGUACAAAUAAGUUUGACGGUUGGAUCGUUGAAAAAAGUUUCGUAGAAUGCAUAUUGCGUCAAAACAGUAGAUUAAACAAACACUUAGAGUUAAUAUUAUACUUCUAUCAAGUAUAAAAUAAGUUUUUGUGGUAUCCACUAGUGUAAAUACUUUAAAUUAAAGAUCAAAUUUAUUCAUUACAUUCUUAUAGGGUCGAGGAGUGUAUCUGUAAAAAAUCAUCAAAAUCGGAGCUAAAAUAACCGUUAAAUUGUGAUUUUUCAUUUAUAACCGUCGAAAACUUUUGUUCCGUUAUGUAAUCUCUGAAUCUUUAUUUUUUAUGAUUUUUUACGUAUGCAAUCUCGGAAUGUGUACAAAUAAUUUUGACGGUUGGAUUGUUGAAAAAAGUUUCGUAGAAUGCAUUUUGCGUCAAAACGGUGGAUUAAAACAAACACUUAAGAGUUAAUAUUAUACUUCUAUUAAGUAUAAAAUAAGUUUUUGUGGUAUCCACUAGUGUAAAUACUUUAAAUUAAAGAUCAAAUUUAUUUAUUACAUUCAUAUAGGGUCGAGGAGUGUAUCUGUAAAAAAAUCAUCAAAAUCGGAGCUAAAAUAACCGUUAAAUUGUGAUUUUUUGUUUAUAACCGUUGAUAACUUUUGUUCUGUUACGUAAUCUCUGAAUGUUUGUUUUUUACGAUUUUUUACGUAUGCAAUCUUGGAACGCGUACAAAUAAGUUUGAUGGUUGGAUCGUUAAAAAAAGUUUCGUAGAAUGCAUAUUGCGUCAAAAUAGUAGAUUAAACAAACACUUAAAGUUAAUAUUAUACUUCUAUUAAGUAUAAAAAAAGAUUUUGCGGUAUCCACUAGUGUAAAUAAUUUAAAUUAAAGAUCAAAUUUAUUCAUUACAUUCUUAUAGGAUUGAGGAGUGUAUUUGGAAAAAAUCAUCAAAAUCGGAGCUAAAAUAACCGUUAAAUUGUGAUUUUUGGUUUAUAACCAUCGAAAACUUUUGUUCCGUUACGUAAUCUCUAAAUGUUUGUUUUUUACGAUUUUUUAUGUAUGCGAUCUCGGAAUGUGUACAAAUAAGUUUGACGGUUGGAUCGUUGAAAAAAGUUUCGUAGAAUGCAUAUUGCGUCAAAACAGUAGAUUAAACAAAAACUUAGAGUUAAUAUUAUACUUCUAUUAAGUAUAAAAUACGUUUUUGUGGUAUCUACUAGUUUAAAUACUUUAAAUUAAAGAUCAAAUUUAUUCAUUACAUUCUUAUAGGGUCGAGGAGUGUAUCUGUAAAAAAAUCAUCAAAAUCGGAGCUAAAAUAACCGUUAAAUUGUGAUUUUUCGUUUAUAACCGUCGAAAACUUUUGUUCCGUUAUGUAAUCUCUGAAUGUUUGUUUUUUACGAUUUUUUAUGUAUGCGAUCUCGGAAUGUGUACAAAUAAGUUUGACGGUUUGAUCGUUGAAAAAAGUUUCGUAGAAUGCAUAUUGCGUCAAAACAGUAGAUUAAACAAACACUUAGAGUUAAUAUUAUACUUCUAUUAAGUAUAAAAUAAGUUUUUGUGGUAUCUACUAGUGUAAAUACUUUAAAUUAAAGAUCAAAUUUAUUCAUUACAUUCUUAUAGGGUCGAGGAGUGUAUCUAUAAAAAAUCAUGAAAAUCGGAGCUAAAAUAACCGUUAAAUUGUGAUUUUUUGUUUAUAACCGUCGAAAACUUUUGUUCCGUUACGUAAUCUUUGAAUGUUUGUUUUUUACGAUUUUUUAUGUAUGCGAUCUCGGAAUUUGUACAAAUAAGUUUGAUGGUUGGAUCGUUGAAAAAAGUUUCGUAGAAUGCAUAUUGCGUCAAAACAAUAGAUUAAACAAACACUUAAAGUUAAUAUUAUACUUCUAUUAAGUAUAAAAUAAGUUUUUGUGGUAUCUACUAGUGUAAAUACUUUAAAUUAAAGAUCAAAUUUAUUCAUUACAUUCUUAUAGGGUCGAGGAGUGUAUAUGUAAAAAAAUCAUCAAAAUCGGAGCUAAAAUAACCGUUAAAUUGUGAUUUUUUCGUUUAUAAUCGUCAAUAACUUUUGUUCCGUUACGUAAUAUUUGAAUGUUUGUUUUUUUACAAUUUUUUACGUAUGCAAUCUUGGAAUGUGUACAAAUAAGUUUGACGGUUGGAUCGUUGAAAAAAACUUGUCAUUACGAGUGUUUAUAUAUAUUUUCUAUAUUUUUUUACACUUCUACAUUAAUUAAAAAACUAUUAAAGACUUUAGGCAAGCGAAAAUAUACUUAAAACAAAAUUGCGUUUUUAUGUUUUGGAUGUGAUACUAUGAAAUGUAUAUACUUAUUUAGUAUUAUGUUUUUCAUUUGAUUAUUUAUUGGUUUAAAAUAUAUUUUCCUUAACGGGUAACGGGUCGGGUCAUAUUACCUGUUAAUAUUAUCGGGUCGAUUUCGGGUCGGGUCAUUUUACCCGUUUAUUUUAACGGGUGUUACACGACACGACCCGUUAAGAUAUCGGGUAUGACACGAAAACGACACGAACACGGAAAACACGACACGAAUGCCAUGUCUAGUCUAAACUACUUCGUGUAGUGACACCUCUCCCCCCCUCCUCCGUCCUUCUCUCUCCAUGGAAAAAAGUGGAAGCAGAUCCUUCACCUUGUCUUGGUGGCCUUUUAUUUUAGCCUUUCUCGUUCUUUGCUGUUCCAGUGAAACUUGUAACGCUAAGGAUGAUAGUACAAACUGUACCUCCUCCUGCGGCAAUAUUCACAACAUAAGCUACCCUUUUCGACUAAAAGAUGAUCCAAAGCACUGCGGCCACAUUCUGUAUACUCUUUCCUGUGAGAACAACAUUACAGUAUUAGAUCUACCUUAUUCUGGUAAAUACUACG